AGACCACCUCUCACCUCGUCACCACCAACCCCUCUCUCCCUCUCGGCCUCUCCGCUCUCCCCCACCGCACCUAGCCGCCGCCGCCGCGCGGGCAGCGGCAGCUCGGCGCCCCGGUUCAACCCCGUCGUCUAUCGUCCGCCUCCGCGCGGCGCCGCGCCGCGCCGGGUGAACUACCUCGUCGUGCAUCUGGCGGCUCUACAAGGUUAGGGUUGUGCGCCCAUGCGCGCAGCUCCGUCGUCUCCGUCCCCGUCGACCUCUGUAUCCCGCUGGGGCGUGCCCUCCGGCGAGGGUUCUCCCCUUCUGCCACAGGCGCGCCGGUACCGUCUCAUCCGGCGGAGUUGUGG
rnacentral:lncRNA from 1 species